UACGUAGGGCGCAAGCGUUGUCCGGAAUUAUUGGGCGUAAAGAGCUCGUAGGCGGUCUGUCGCGUCUGCUGUGAAAACUCGGGGCUUAACCCCGGGCCUGCAGUGGGUACGGGCAGACUAGAGUGCGGUAGGGGAGACUGGAAUUCCUGGUGUAGCGGUGAAAUGCGCAGAUAUCAGGAGGAACACCGGUGGCGAAGGCGGCAUCCUGGACCAACACUGACACUGAGGAGCGAAAGCCAGGGGAGCAAACGGG
rnacentral:rRNA from 1 species